rnacentral:rRNA from 1 species
GAUGAACGCUAGCUACAGGCUUAACACAUGCAAGUCGAGGGGCAGCAUGUCGGUUGCUUGCAACCGAUGAUGGCGACCGGCGCACGGGUGAGUAACGCGUAUCCAACCUGCCUCUUACCAGGGAAUAACCCGUCGAAAGGCGGACUAAUGCCCUAAGCCCUCCGCGGCAGACAUCUAAUGUGGCGGCAAGAUUCAUCGGUAAGUGAUGGGGGUGCAUCUGAUUAGCUUGUUGGCGGGGUAACGGCCCAACAAGGCAACGGUCAGUAGGGGUUCUUAGAGGAAGGUCCCCCAGGUUGGAACUGAGACGCGGUCCAAACUCCUACGGGAGGCAGCAGUGAGGAAUAUUGGUCAAUGGGCGGAAGCCUGAACCAGCCAAGCAGCGUACAGGACGACUGCCCUAUGGGUUGUAAACUGCUUUUAUGCGGGGAUAAAUGACACUACGUGUAGUGUUUUGCAGGUACCGCAUGAAUAAGGACCGGCUAAUUCCGUGCCAGCCGCCGCCGUAAAAC